ensembl:lncRNA
GGAUAGGUCUGGGUAGUUGGAUAGGUCUGGAUAGUUGGAUAGGUCUGGGUAGUUGGAUAGGUCUGGGUAGUUGGAUAGGUCUGGGUAGUUGGAUAGGUCUGGAUAGUUGGAUAGGUCUGGAUAGUUGCAUAGGGCUGGAUAGUUGGAUAGGUCUGGAUAGUUGGGUAGGGCUGGAUAGUUGGGUAGGUCUGGAUAGUUGGGUAGGUCUGGAUAGUUGGAUAGGUCUGAAUAGUUGGAUAGGUCUGGAUAGUUGGAUAGGUCUGGAUAGUUGGAUAGGUCUGGAUAGUUGGAUAGGUCUGGAUAGUUGGAUAGGGCUGGAUAGUUGGAUAGGUCUGGAUAGUUGGAUAGGUCUGGAUAGUUGGAUAGGGCUGGAUAGUUGGAUAGGUCUGGAUAGUUGGAUAGGUCUGGAAAGGUCUGGAUAGUUGGAUAGGUCUGGAUAGUUGGAUAGGUCUGAAUAGUUGGAUAGGUCUGGAUAGUUGGAUAGGUCUCGAUAGUUGGAUAGGUCUGGAUAGUUGGAUAGGUCUGGAUAGUUGGAUAGGUCUGGAUAGUUGGAUAGGGCUGGAUAGUUGGAUAGGG